GCCAGAAAGGAGGACUGGAAUAGCCUGCCUUUGGAUUGGUGUUGGCUCCUCAAAUCCAAGUUCUGCCAAAUUGUGUAAUAAAUAUGACUCACAUCCAUAACUGGAGCUUAACUCGGCAAAAUUUUGAAGUGGCGAUGGGACAUUAUUCCCAGAAACGUGAAUGAGAUGUUUUUUCCUGAGAAGUGCAUCCCGCUCAAUUUGCCAAUUUAAAUCCUUCUUUUUCCUGGAAAGCUGAUUUUCUUCAUCUUGAUCAUUCUGUUCAUCAAUUGAUAAAGGUACAGACUUUGAACUCUUAAAGACACUGAAUCCCUCCACCGUUUCUGAAACGGACACAUUUUUUCGUUUCCUCUUCCUAACAGAGACUGCCACUUCCUCUGGAUCAAGUUUUCUACUGUCAAAAUCAUCCGUUGGACCAUUACCAUUACCUUGUUCUUUCUCCUUAAAGCGGGCAAAAUCGUUGGCAAAUUUCUUCUUAUUGAAGCUGAUGCCUGAAAACAAAAAGGACGUGUCUUUCCCCAUCCCGAACUGGACGGCCACCAAUGAAAGCAGGGUUUCUUUUAGGGUUUUAGUUUCUUCUCCCGGAACCUUCGAACGGGGGUUUUUUUUUUUUUUUUUU
rnacentral:misc_RNA from 1 species